rnacentral:lncRNA from 1 species
AGGAUCAAAGGCACGGCAACCAUGAUGUACCUGUCAUUAUCCUUCAUGGACCAGCAGUUUUGUGACAGCCUGGAGAAAAUGAGACUGCUGGCAUCAGCUAAAAGCCGAGGAAGCCCCAGGGUCUAUUUAAGCAGAAACUUCUGGGGCGAACAGGAAAUGAAUUGGAAAGAUCAAGAAUGACACAAUUGGGGGAAGAGGAGACAGCGGAGACUGAGGUAGAAUGAGAGCAUUCUGGAAGCAAUCCUAUCCCAUGUACACUUGGCCAUGUGGUGGCUCACUAUGUGACCUUGGUCCAGGCACUGCCUCUCAGCAAAAUUGCUAUGAAGAAAACGUGUCACCUUGAGCUUCUUGGAUAAAAGGUGGGAUAUAAUCAAUCAAUACAUUGUUUUCUAUUAAUCAUAAUCAUGUACACAGAGCCCUGCUGGGACAGCCUGGCAUUCUGUUCCUGACCAGAUGCCUAUGUAAACUACAAUAGCAGAACUGAGCAAUGUUCUGCAGCAAGAGAGCAACCGUGCAACAUAAUCCUAUGGAUGUUAAGUCCUUUUGUAUUAGAUGGCACUUACUCCUAUGUUAAGUGUAUGAAGAAAUCAGAUUUUUCCAGUAUCCUUUUUACAUCUUGCUCCAAGACAGAUGAUGACAAAGAAAAAUAGCCAAACAAGCCAGGAUGUCUUAGGAUUCCCGUAGAAAGUUCUCUCACAUGCGUGGUACCUGAGAACUCACAACUAAGUUACUUAGAUAUAACACCAGAGAUAUCUGAAAUCUCACAUAUCAAUUUAACAUGGAAUUCAUGCAGCUUUUAAGCAAAAUCCAUUCACUACAUCGCACAUGUGUGAAUACAUUUCUAGUUGGAGAAAUGCAGAGUGAGAACAUUAAUCCCCCCAAUAUGAUGGGGGACUUUGUGAAUCUGUCCAGAGUUUCAUAGGAUUGUGGAGUUGGAAGAUGGCUGAAGUCUCUCACAUCAAGUUAACACGGCAUUUGAGUGGCUUUUAAGCAAGAUGCACACCACAUAUUCACAAAGUCCCCCGCCGUAUUAAAAAAUGAUUAAAGCAAAUCACAGUCGCAGCAACAGAGUGGCUCUUAAAACUCACACAUACUUUAGAUGACAAAGGCUAGAGGUUAAAGGACUCUCUUUCCUUGGAUGGUUUAAGCAGAGAUUGGAUGGCAAUAUGUCAUGAAUGCUUUUGAUGAGAUUCCUGUAUUACUGGGUCCCUGCCAACUCUUCCAUUCUAUGAAGAUGUCCCAGCCCCUCCUGGCUCUUGGGUUGGGGCUCUGGUAGGACACCCAGUGGUGGUGGGGGAUGAUGCCCCUCAAUA